rfam:Dipodomys ordii contig_64196, whole genome shotgun sequence.
AAAGUAACUAUGCCAGGGGAGAUACCAUGAUCACCAAGGUGGUUUUCCCAGGGCAAGGCUUAUCCAUUGCACUCCAGAUGUGCUGACCCCUGCGAUUUCCCCAAAUGUGGGAAACUGGACUACAUAAUUUGUGGUAGUGGGGGACUGCG